rnacentral:rRNA from 1 species
UACGUAGGGUGCGAGCGUUGUCCGGAAUUAUUGGGCGUAAAGGGGCUCGUAGGCGGUUUGUCGCGUCGGGAGUGAAAACUCAGGGCUUAACCCUGAGCCUGCUUCCGAUACGGGCAGACUAGAGGUAUGCAGGGGAGAACGGAAUUCCUGGUGUAGCGGUGAAAUGCGCAGAUAUCAGGAGAAACACCGGUGGCGAAGGCGGUUCUCUGGGCAUUACCUGACGCUGAGGAGCGAAAGUGUGGGGAGCGAAACAGG